rnacentral:misc_RNA from 1 species
GAUGAAGAACGCAGCGAAAUGCGAUAAGUAAUGUGAAUUGCAGAAUUCAGUGAAUCAUCGAGUCUUUGAACGCACAUUGCGCCCCCUGGUAUUCCGGGGGGCAUGCCUGUCCGAGCGUCAUUGCUGCCCUCAAGCACGGCUUGUGUGUUGGGCCCCCGUCCCCGGUUUCCCCCGGGGACGGGCCCGAAAGGCAGCGGCGGCACCGCGUCCGGUCCUCGAGCGUAUGGGGCUUUGUCACCCGCUCUGUAGGCCCGGCCGGCGCCAGCCGACACCCAACUUUAUUUCUAAGGUUGACCUCGGAUCAGGUAGGGAUACCCGCUGAACUUAAGCAUAUCAAUAAGCGGAAGA